GACGCGCGCGCGAAGAAAGAUAAAAACGGUGGCGGCGGCGGCGUCGGUGGAGGCGGCGGCGGUGACGGCUAAAACGACGGCGACGAUGAUGGCUCUGCGAUGAGUACGAGUUCAGUUCAACUACAUCUACCCGUCGGCGCACACGUGUUCCAGCCAUUGAACAUUGCGGGAUUCAAUUUUAUAAUUUCAAACAAUUUUUUCAAAUUAUUUUUUUCCCGCCAAUAUUGACGAGACGCUCAUAACAUCAUUUUCACAUAUUAUUUUCAUUGAUUAUACAAUAUUAUAAUUAUAUAUACCUACACGAUGUGCAGCAGUAUAGGAAAUAGCGUGUCGUUGUGCUCGAAAAUCGACCGAACGAAGAACCACCGAAGCUGCCAGCCUGGAUUAGACGGUUCUAACAGCCGACCUAGACCUAUAACGGCUGUUCAAAAUUGAAGGAAUAGCGCUUUUCAAAAUCAAAUCGACCUGCACAUUAUGCAAUACGCGGAUUUCCGUCACAUCGGAACUAAAAUGAAGACUUCGACCGAUAUAACCAUCAACAGGCCGAAACCAUUGUUUCCAAAACCUAGUUGCUAAAUAACCAUGAUUUAUUAUAUUAAUAAAUCUAAUGUAUAUAAUUAAAUAUAAGCACUUUUCUUCCCUUGGUAGUUCGAAAUGAAAGUUUCAAGAACAACCCCUACUACGUUUCAGUUAGGCAAACAAACUAACUUUUUGUAUUUUUUACUCGGUACCUGAAAUAAGUUUGCCUUUCGUACGGGGUUGAUUGAAAUCUUACUUAUAUUGUGCUACUAUUACUAUCUUUCAUUACAUUUUGUCUGUAAUUAUUUUUAUAUUUAUUUAAAUACAUUUUCAUAUAUAUGUAUAUUAUGUCAUUGAUGUAUAAGAAAUAUAAUAAUAAUUAAUAAUCAUCUUUUAAAUAUAUUAUAUUGUAAACCAAUAUAAAAUAGAUUUUAUACAAACUAUGUUUAAAAAAAUAAAUAUUAUUAUGUUUAAUUGAUUAAUACAUAUUUGUAUAAUAUAUAUAUUUAAAAUGAAAUUUUUUAAUAAAACUCAUGUAUGUAACAAU